rnacentral:rRNA from 1 species
UGCGCAGGUGGGCUUGUAAGUCAGUGGUGAAAUACUGCCGCUUAACGGUAGAACUGCCAUUGAUACUGCGAGUCUUGAGUAUGGUUGAGGUAGGCGGAAUGUGUUGUGUAGCGGUGAAAUGCAUAGAUAUGAUACAGAACGCCGAUUGCGAAGGCAGCUUACUAAGCCAUUACUGACGCUGAGGCACGAAAGCGUGGGGAGCGAACAGGAUUAGAUACCCUGGUAGUCC